CUAUCUGUGGUGGGCGUUGGAAUCUUGAGAAGCGCUGUCUUUAGUACGAGAGGACCGGGAUGGACAUACCUCUAGUGUACCUGUUAUGGCGCCAGCUGUACAGCAGGGUAGCUACGUAUGGAAUGGAUAAGUGCUGAAAGCAUCUAAGCACGAAGCCUGCUUCAAGAUGAGGAUUCCUUUAAGGGUCGUUGAAGACUACGACGUUGAUAGGCUGUAAGUAUAAAGCUAGUAAUAGCAAAGCUGAGCAGUACUAAUUACCCGUAGCUUUCUAUU
rnacentral:rRNA from 1 species